rnacentral:rRNA from 1 species
UACGUAGGGUGCGAGCGUUAAUCGGAAUUACUGGGCGUAAAGCGCACGUAGGCGGACAUUUAAGUCAGGGGUGAAAUCCCAGAGCUCAACUCUGGAACUGCCUUUGAUACUGGGUGUCUUGAGUAUGGAAGAGGUGAGUGGAAUUCCGAGUGUAGAGGUGAAAUUCGUAGAUAUUCGGAGGAACACCAGUGGCGAAGGCGGCUCACUGGUCCAUUACUGACGCUGAGGUGCGAAAGCGUGGAGGAGCAAACGAGG